GCCCACGUGGCGUAGUGGUCAGCACGCUCGACGCGUAUUCGAGAUAUCCGUGGUUCGAGUCCCGGCAAGAGCA
rfam:Stegodyphus mimosarum contig51963, whole genome shotgun sequence.